CCAUUCCCCUCCAUUUUCCUUUCUCUCUCUCACUACCAUACCUAUCCCAUUUCUCCUCCACCCAAGACGCUGGCCAAGAACACGAACGAAGGCAGUGCAGCCCAUUCAUCACUUCGCGUCUCUCUUCCACCGUGACCUCCACCACUUCGCGUCUCUCCUCCACCGUGGCAUCCACCACGUUGCUGGCCAGGAACACGAAGGGAGUGCAGCAGUGAGAGAACGCAGUGCAGGGAGAACACAAAGCCACCAUCGAACUCCGAUUCGCGGACGAUUCCGACGGCCACGAUCACCGCGAAGACAGACAAUCUGUCCAUUUUCUUGCAUUAUCCAAAAAGGGUUUGUAUUGAUGCUACAGCAGUGACCUUCAUGACUUGUAGAGAGCAAAACAUCAUUUAUAUGUGUUUUUAAUAUUUUCAUUUUCUUGUUUAAUAAAUCAUUGUUGUUGUAUUCUUCA